GCUGGGCAUGGCGGUGCACUCCUGUAAUCCCAGCUACUCGGGAGGCUGAGGCAGGAGGAUCAUUUGAACCUGGGAGGCAGAGGUUGCACUGAGCCACGAUGGUGCCACUGCACUCUAUCCUGGGUGACAGAAUGAAAUUGUGUCUCAAAAAAAAAAAGAAAGUUUAUGUGAUUAUUUAGGUUCAAAAUGAUCCACAUCAACUUACUAUAUCUUGUACUUUUUGUGUGUGACGGAGUCUCACUCUGUUACCCAGGCUGGAGUGCAAUGGCACCAUCUUGGCUCACUGCAACCUGUGCCUCCCAGGUUCAAGCAAUUCUCCUGCCUCAG
rnacentral:SRP_RNA from 1 species